rnacentral:tRNA from 1 species
GGAGGAGUGGCAGAGUGGUCGAAUGCGGCGGUCUUGAAAACCGUUGAGGCGCAAGUUUCCAGGGGUUCGAAUCCUCUCUCCUCCGCCA